rnacentral:rRNA from 1 species
UACGGAGGGUGCGAGCGUUGUCCGGAAUCACUGGGCGUAAAGGGCGCGUAGGCGGCAUGCCAAGCGUGUGGUGAAAGCCCGGGGCUCAACCCCGGGUCGGCCGUGCGGACUGGCAUGCUCGAGCACUGUAGGGGCGGGUGGAAUUCCGGGUGUAGCGGUGGAAUGCGUAGAGAUCCGGAAGAACACCGGUGGCGAAGGCGGCCUGCUGGGCAGUGGCUGACGCUGAGGCGCGACAGCGUGGGGAGCAAACAGG